UAUUACACUCGUCCCGGCCUCC
rnacentral:miRNA from 1 species